ACCAAUCAGCCUAAAACCCUAAGGCAUCAGAUCCCAUCUGAUCUUGGAAGCUAAGUAGGGUCAGCCUUGCUUAGUACUUGGAGGGGAGUCUGCCAAGGAAUACCAGGUGCUGUAGGCU
rnacentral:rRNA from 1 species